rnacentral:misc_RNA from 1 species
GUAGGUGAACCUGCGGAAGGAUCAUUACCGUGGGGAUUCGUCCCCAUUGAGAUAGCACCCUUUGUUUAUGAGUACCCCCCGUUUCCUCGGCGGGCUUGCCCGCCGUCAGGACAUCCAAAAACCCUUUGUAGUAGCAGUAUCUUCAGUCAAAAAACAAAUAUUAAAACUUUCAACAACGGAUCUCUUGGUUCUG